AAAAACUCCGGUGGUAUGAGAUGGGCCCGCGUCUGAUUAGCUAGUUGGCGGGGUAACGGCCCACCAAGGCGACGAUCAGUAGCCGACCUGAGAGGGUGACCGGCCACAUUGGGACUGAGACACGGCCCAAACUCCUACGGGAGGCAGCAGUGGGGAAUAUUGCACAAUGGGGGAAACCCUGAUGCAGCGACGCCGCGUGAGCGAUGAAGUAUUUCGGUAUGUAAAGCUCUAUCAGCAGGGAAGAAGAUGACGGUACCUGACUAAGAAGCCCCGGCUAACUACGUGCCAGCAGCCGCGGUAAUACGUAGGGGGCAAGCGUUAUCCGGAUUUACUGAGUGUAAAGGGAGCGUAGACGGCGGUGCAAGCCAGAUGUGAAAGCCCGGGGCUCAACCCCGGGACUGCAUUUGGAACUGUAUGGCUGGAGUGUCGGAGAGGCAGGCGGAAUUCCUAGUGUAGCGGUGAAAUGCGUAGAUAUUAGGAGGAACACCAGUGGCGAAGGCGGCCUGCUGGACGAUGACUGACGUUGAGGCUCGAAAGCGUGGGGAGCAAACAGGAUUAGAUACCCUGGUAGUCCACGCCGUAAACGAUGACUACUAGGUGUCGGGCAGCAAAGCUGUUCG
rnacentral:rRNA from 1 species